rnacentral:rRNA from 1 species
CCUACGGGUGGCAGCAGUGGGGGAUAUUGCACAAUGGGGGAAACCCUGAUGCAGCGACGCCGCGUGUGGGAAGACGGUCCUCUGGAUUGUAAACCACUGUCCCCAGGGACGAAGAUGACGGUACCUGGGGAGGAAGCUCCGGCUAACUACGUGCCAGCAGCCGCGGUAAUACGUAGGGAGCGAGCGUUGUCCAGAAUUACUGGGUGUAAAGGGAGCGUAGACGGGGAUGCAAGUUGGGUGUCAAAACUACCGGCUCAACUGGUAGUCGCACUCAAAACUGCAGCUCUUGAGUGAAGUAGAGGCAGGCGGAAUUCCUAGUGUAGCGGUGAAAGGCGUAGAGAUUAGGAAGAACACCAGUGGCGAAGGCGAUUCUCUGGACUGUAACUGACGCUGAGGCUCGAAAGCGUGGGGAGCAAACAGGAUUAGAUACCCGGGUAGUC